UCUGUGAACGAGGGACACCCAGACAAGCUCUGCGAUCAGAUCUCUGAUGCAGUCCUGGACGCCUGCCUCGAGCAAGACCCUGACAGCAAGGUUGCAUGCGAGACUUGCACCAAGACCAACAUGGUCAUGGUUUUCGGAGAGAUCACCACCAAGGCCAAGGUCGACUAUGAGAAGAUCGUCCGUGACACCUGCCGCAACAUCGGCUUCGUCUCUGAUGAUGUUGGACUUGAUGCUGACAACUGCAAGGUUCUGG
rnacentral:lncRNA from 1 species